UCGGGAAUAUUGCGCAAUGGAGGAAACUCUGACGCAGUGACGCCGCGUGCAGGAAGAAGGUUUUCGGAUUGUAAACUGCUUUUAACAGGAAAGAAAAAAAUGACGGUACCUGUUGAAUAAGCUCCGGCUAACUACGUGCCAGCAGCCGCGGUAAUACGUAGGGAGCGAGCGUUAUCCGGAUUUAUUGGGUGUAAAGGGUGCGUAGACGGAAAUGCAAGUUAGUUGUGAAAUACCUCGGCUUAACUGAGGAACUGCAACUAAAACUAUAUUUCUUGAGUAUCGGAGGGGUUUGUGGAAUUCCUAGUGUAGCGGUGAAAUGCGUAGAUAUUAGGAAGAACACCGGUGGCGAAGGCGACAAACUGGACGAUAACUGACGUUGAGGCACGAAAGUGUGGGGAGCAAACAGGAUUAGAUACCCUGGUAGUCCACACCGUAAACGAUGGAUACUAGGUGUUGGCAAUGAAUAAUUGUCGGUGCCGGCGCUAACGCAAUAAGUAUCCCACCUGGGGAGUACGACCGCAAGGUUG
rnacentral:rRNA from 1 species